GCCUGGGUAGCUUAAUCAGUUAAGCGUCUGACUUCGGCUCAGGUCAUGAUCUCAUGGUUCGUGGGUUUGAGCCCCGCGUCGGGCU
rnacentral:tRNA from 1 species